GAUGAACGCUGGCGGCGUGCCUAAUACAUGCAAGUCGAGCGAACAGACGAGGAGCUUGCUCCUUUGACGUUAGCGGCGGACGGGGGAGUAACACGUGGGUAACCUACCUAUAAGACUGGGAUAACUUCGGGAAACCGGAGCUAAUACCGGAUAAUAUUUCGAACCGCAUGGUUCGAUAGUGAAAGAUGGCUCUGCUAUCACUGAUAGAUGGACCUGCGCCGUAUUAGCUAGUUGGUAAGGUAACGGCUUACCAAGGCAACGAUACGUAGCCGACCUGAGAGGGUGAUCGGCCACACUGGAACUGAGACACGGUCCAGACUCCUACGGGAGGCAGCAGUAGGGAAUCUUCCGCAAUGGGCGAAAGCCUGACGGAGCAACGCCGCGUGAGUGAUGAAGGUCUUCGGAUCGUAAAACUCUGUUAUUAGGGAAGAACAAACGUGUAAGUAACUGUGCACGUCUUGACGGUACCUAAUCAGAAAGCCACGGCUAACUACGUG
rnacentral:rRNA from 1 species